AAGUUCAGCACUGUACAUUGGGGAUCUGACGGUGCUCGUCUAUGGUCGAGAAACACUGGCCAACUCAAGUUUGACUGGGAGGCAGUCAGGAGCUCACAAAAAUGUGGAGUCGAAGCCACAACUGGACAACACAAAACUUGACGCUAUACUUGCCUAUGCCCAGGCGAAGUUCCCCGACACCGCCAUGCAAGAUGUCAGGAGGAUCAUUAGAAAGAAAUGCAACAAUUUAAGCUAUUCAAAGCAACUAGAUGAAAAGUCAUAAAAAUAUUGUUUCUUUGAAGAUAUUUUGUUCCGAAAAUGUGCACUUUUCUAAGCUUCUUUUGAAAACCAAGGACUUCAGUUCUCAGUUCUUAUUCAGUCCUUAUCUGGAACACACUUUUGUUUAGAUUUUUGAUGUCAAUUGCAGUUUUUAAUUUUUGACAAAGAAUGACUUCAUUGUUUUUAUAUUUUCAUAUGUAAAUGUGUUUACAUUUUUAUUUUAAUAUUGAAACCUAAGAACGGUUUGAUUUAAGAGAAGCUUUUUAAUUUUGAAAUGCAGUCUGUAAUAGUUUAAGAUGGCAUUUAGAAAAAAAAACCUAUAUGUUAUAUAAAUAAACCAAAGUUAUCAAGAUACUGUCUUGUAAUUGUAUAAACAUAUUGCAUUAUAACUACAUUAUGGGGUAACUGUAAGGAUAUGAUAUCUGAUGUGCUACAAUAUG